rnacentral:rRNA from 1 species
AGAGUUUGAUCAUGGCUCAGAGCGAACGUUAGCGGCACGCCUAACACAUGCAAGUCGCACGAGAGUGGAGCAAUUCAUGAAAGUGGCGCACGGGUGCGUAACACGUAGAUAAUCUGCCCUUCGGCGGGGGAUAACGUUCCGAAAGGAGCGCUAAUACCGCAUACAGCAGUUCCUGGUUCGCCAGGGAUUGGCAAAGGCUGGGCUUCGCAAGAACCAGUCGCCGGAGGAGGAAUCUGCGGCCCAUCAGCUAGUUGGUAAGGUAACGGCUUACCAAGGCAAAGACGGGUAGCUGGUCUGAGAGGAUGAUCAGCCACACUGGUACUGGAACACGGACCAGACUCCUACGGGAGGCAGCAGUGGGGAAUCUUGGUCAAUGGGCGCAAGCCUGAACCAGCGAUGCCGCGUGAGUGAUGAAGGCCUUCGGGUUGUAAAGCUCUGUGGGGAGAGACGAAAGAAUCGGUUCUAACAGGACCGAAGUUGACGGUAUCUCCUUAGCAAGCACCGGCUAACUCUGUGCCAGCAGCCGCGGUAAGACAGAGGGUGCAAACGUUGCUCGGAAUCACUGGGCGUAAAGGGCGUGUAGGCGGGAAGAUAAGUCGGGCGUGAAAUCCCUAGGCUCAACCUAGGAACUGCACUCGAAACUGUUUUUCUUGAGUACCGGAGAGGAAAGCGGAAUUCCUGGUGUAGAGGUGAAAUUCGUAGAUAUCAGGAGGAACACCAGUGGCGAAGGCGGCUUUCUGGACGGUAACUGACGCUGAGACGCGAAAGCGUGGGGAGCAAACAGGAUUAGAUACCCUAGUAGUCC